CCUACGGGUGGCAGCAGUGAGGAAUAUUGGUCAAUGGACGCAAGUCUGAACCAGCCAAGUAGCGUGCAGGAUGACGGUCCUCCGGGUUGUAAACUGCUUUUAGCUGGGAAUAAAAUGAGGCUCGUGAGCCCCGCAGUGUAUGUACCAACAGAAAAAGGACCGUCUAAUUCCGCGUCAGCAGCCGCGGUUAUACGGAAGGUCCGGGUGUUCUCCGGAUUUUUUGGGUUAAAAGGGAGGCUAGGGCGGCUUGUAAGUCAGCUGGUAAAGUCCGGGGCUCAACCGUCGAAUUGCAGUUGAAACUGGAUGCCUUGAGAGCACACAGGGUUGCCGGAAUUCGUGGUGUAGCGGUGAAAUGCUUAGAUAUCGUGAAGAACUCCGAUCGCGAAGGCAAGUGUCCGGGGUGGAACUGACGCUGAGGCUCGAAAGUGUGGGUAUCAAACAGGAUUAGAUACCCUUGUAGUC
rnacentral:rRNA from 1 species